CAAUAGACUGAGCCACCCAGGAGUGCCUCCAUUUCUUGGGGUUCUCAAUGGGGAUUGAUUUCAUCCUCCAGAAGAUAUUUUUGUGUGGAAACAAAGAAUUAUCCAGCCCCAAAUGUCAAUAGUGCCAAGGCUGAGAAAAUCUGGUGUAUAAGAAGUGUCCACCUUCCUUUGGGGAUUGUUUUCUCUGAACUGGACAAUGCAGUUUUGGUGGAGCCAUAAACCAUACACCUACUCUCUGACUCAGAUGGCAAGGACCUCACUAGGCUGGGUCCAAGUUUGGAGCCCCAUUUCCAUGGCCAUAUGACCAAGAAUGGACAUUUGGAUCAACCUGCACCGAUCCUGGCCUGGGGAUGUAUCCUACAGAUGCAUUCCUACAUAUGUGCAUGGCGAUUGACCAGGAUAUUCAAGAAUUAUUUGUAAUAGCAGUUACCACCCAAAUUUUUAUCAAAGGGUGACUGAUUAAAUUAUGAUGAAAGACUCAUGCCACGUCUUUAAAGGACUUCCAGAAUCACAGAAGGAGUCACUUGUGAAUCUAGGAGCAGAGGCCAGGCAUGGUGUCUCCCUCCAGAGUGCCAUCUAGUAGACCACAUGUGUAUCCAGACCCGUAGUCCUUGGGAAACAGUGGAAUGCUGGAUCCCUGUCCAUAGGCCCCAAAGACAAGUCUAAAGUGCAGUUUUUAAAGGUAUGAAUGGAACAAUUCUAAGCCCAGACCAGAACAUAAUUUAACAGGAAAGAAUAUCCAAAGGAAAAAAGACCAUCUCUUCAACAAAUGGUGUUAGGAAAAUUGGACAGCCACAUG